rnacentral:rRNA from 1 species
AGAGUUUGAUCAUGGCUCAGGAUGAACGCUAGCUACAGGCUUAACACAUGCAAGUCGAGGGGAAACGACAUCGAAAGCUUGCUUUUGAUGGGCGUCGACCGGCGCACGGGUGAGUAACGCGUAUCCAACCUGCCCACCACUUGGGGAUAACCUUGCGAAAGUAAGACUAAUACCCAAUGACGUCUCUAGAAGACAUCUGAAAGGGAUUAAAGAUUUAUCGGUGAUGGAUGGGGAUGCGUCUGAUUAGCUUGUUGGCGGGUAACGGCCACCAAGGCUACGAUCAGUAGGGUUCUGAGAGGAAGUCCCCCANAUUGGAACUGAGACACGGUCCAAACUCCUACGGGAGGCA